rnacentral:lncRNA from 1 species
AUGGUUUCUUCUAGAGUUUGUGUUGCCAUGUUAAAUAGAUAAUAGUGAAAGUAUUACUCUCUCCAUAGCCACACAUUGCUCUCUACACUUUCAUAAUUUUUUUUAAUUCCAAAAUUACCUAUAUUUACUUUUAUCCUUUACCAUUUUUAACUUUUUCUUAAAACCCUAAUUUUUUACUAUUUUAUUCAUUCAGCCGUACAUCACACCUCGAGUCCCGCACUCUUACUUUGUCUCUUCCUCUCUU